GUUGAACGCUGGCGGCAGGCCUAACACAUGCAAGUCGAACGGAAACAGAAAGCAGCUUGCUGCUUUGCUGUCGAGUGGCGGACGGGAGUGUCAUGUCUGGGACACAGCUUGAUGGAGGGGGUUACCUACUGGAAACGGUAGCUAAUACCGCAUAACGUCGCAACCCCAAAGAGGGGGACUUUCGGGCCUCUUGCCAUCGGCUGUGCCCAGAUGGGAUUAGCUAGUAGGUGGGGUAAAGGCUCACCUAGGCGACGAUCCCUAGCUGGUCUGAGAGGAUGACCAGCCACACUGGAACUGAGACACGGUCCAGACUCCUACGGGAGGCAGCAGUGGGGAAUAUUGCACAAUGGGCGCAAGCCUGAUGCAGCCAUGCCGCGUGUAUGAAGAAGGCCUUCGGGUUGUAAAGUACUUUCAGCGGGGAGGAAGGGAGGAAAGUUAAUACCUUUGCUCAUUGACGUUACCCGCAGAAGAAGCACCGGCUAACUCCGUG
rnacentral:rRNA from 1 species